rnacentral:lncRNA from 1 species
GCAGCCCCUCAGGCCGGGUAGGGGAGGGCGGGCGCUGCGAGUGGGGGGCGGCUGGAGAGGAGCAGUGGGAGCUGGAGCCCCUGGCGCUGGACUUGUCACCUAAAGCAGCCAAGGCAGGCUCCAGCAGGGACCAGACCCAGGCUGCGGCGCUGGCCAGAGAAACACCAACACAAGGUCGCGCUCAGGCCUCGGAACCCCUCGAACCCCUUGCCAGGAUCCUCCCAGUUCAGCCGGGUCAGGGCUGAAGCCUGGGGGAUACCGUGACCCCCACCAAGCAGCCCCAGCUGCAGGUACAGCCCCUUCCCGACCCCCACUCCAGCCUGGAGGCUGCCAGGGACCCAAGGUGAGGAAGGCCCAGCCUCAGGGGUGGGGGGGGUGGGGGCUACCCCAGCUCCCUCAGGCCCUCAGGCCCCCACCACGCUCCCUCCCUCAGCUCCAGAGGUGAUUAACGUCUCGGAACCCUGGCCCCUGCUGGGCCAGGACACCCUACACACUCUGGGACUGCACACUUGCCAGGGCCUGGGGAAGGAGGGCAGGUGCCUUGGGGGAGAGGGCCCGGCCAUACUGUCUCCUCUCUGCCAUUCCCCGGGGCCCUGGGGGGUGGGAGGCCUACAGCUCAGGGCCUGCCAGGGAGGGGUAGGCCAGAGAUCAAAGAUCACCAGGGAGACAGCUGAGGGGCCCACACACCCAGGACCCUCUCUCAGAACAGCCCCAGCAGCUGGCGAAGGGGGAAAGAGGAAGGCUGUCCCCAAGGCCAUGGCCCUGGCCGAGGCUGGGUCCUGGCCUGGCCAGGCCCUGCCCCCGCGUGGUGAGACUUAGACCUGACGGAGAGCGGUCCAGCCUCAGGAAGUCCUGAGGAGCAAAAGCACGCAGGGGGACCACAGACCAGGUCCUCCUGGGCGCCCAGCCCUGAUCCCGCCCCGCCCCCAGUAUCUGGAGAUUUGGGGAAACAGGCUGGGCGCAGGGAGAAUCAGCGGCUGUUUUCGUUUCAAUGGUCCCGAAAGGUUUAAAGGCACUUUUCAAGCUGAGCAAAGCUUUGGGGAUUCGUGUGGCUGGUAGAGGCCAAGCUGGGGAACCCCGCACUGCUAGGGGGUCAGGUUGCCCCGUCCCUGUUGCCCUCCUCGGGGCUCCUGGCUCUGUUGGGUCGGCUGAGGCUGCGGAGGCAUGGGCUGACUGCACAGAGGUGCUCUACGUGCUGUGGGGUUUGGGAACAGACUUGUCGCUGGGGUUUGGGGGACAGACAGACAGAUGGGAAAGGGGCCUUUCACCACCACUUCAGCUCGGAGCUCAGCCCACUCCCAGCCUUUCCCGCAAGCAGGGAGCUGCAGCAGGAGACCCAAGAUCAGAUGAACUCCUUUGGGAAAGGGCUGGGCUCAGGAGAGAGAGAGAGUGAGGUUGGUCCUUCAGGGGCGGGGGGAGCUGUAAUAAGCCUCCCUGAGGGCAGUGGGUUGGUCCCCAGCCCCGAGGCUCUCCAAAGGACCACACUGAGACAUCAUGCACUCCCCGUGUCCACACUGCAGGGCUAGAGGGUUCCUUUGCUCGCCAGGAAGGGGUGCAGGGUCAGAGCCCUCCAGCUGCCCUGCCCAGGCCCUCGGAUCCAGGGAGCCCCUCUGUGAACUUCCAGGCGGGGAGGUGGGAGCAGGCAGCCGAUGGGCCAGAUGCACUGACCCACUGGGCGGCUUCCCGCUGCCCUUCUCCCCCGCUGCGCCCCCUUGGCCACCGGCUUCGGGCACUCAGUCUCCCACUCUGCAGGAUUCCUGGUCGAAUUUUGUUCACCCUCCAGUUCCUGCUCAGAAAGGAGUAGUUAAGAGAAUAAAAGCUCCCUUAGUUUACCCCAGGGCUCCUCUCUGAGGCCCGGAGAGGCUCCGAACAGGUCCAGACCACCAGUCCUUGUCCCACCCCCAACUUGGGGCCUGAGUCAGGUGGGGACAAGGGUCUCCCUCUGCGGGCAGAUUCUGCCCUGAACUAGGUGGAUGUGGCUCCCAGCAGAGCAACAGAAGGAGACCCCGAGGGAUGCUUGGGGACAAGCCGGCUUGGUUCCUACCGCACAGAGAGGGACGGGGAGAUGGGAGAUGGGAGAUGGUCCCGGCGCCCAGCCUUGGAGCCAGCGGGGACUACGGACGGCGGAGGUCUCCAGCCUGGGGUGAACAGCAGGGUUCGGUCUCGCAAGGGGUGGGGGCGCAGACAACCCGCAGAGCCCUCUCCUCCCCAGCCUGGCCUCCGCUCUGGCCCACAGCCGCUGCUGCCCCCCACACCAUGCCGCAGCUCCGGUCACAGGAGCCUCCCUGAACUCUGGGGUUAAUAUUUCAGGCCCCCUUUUGCCCCUUGUCCUACCCCAGGCCCAGCGACACUCACAGUGACCCAGAUACCUUUGGAGGACAAAAGGACACAGGCCCUCAUUUCUGGCCCAGUGAGUUCAGAGGCCACGUGGCAAGGCUGCUCCCUACGCAGAUCAGAGUGAAGGCCUUCCCACACCCACACCCCUGCCCGGGUUCUCGAGUGGCUUCAAGAGAGGCUUGGGGACGCUCCCGACCAUGACUCCCCAGGAAUGCGAACCGUGUAGCCGAUGUCGCACAAACCCCAGAUGUAGGAAAGCCUCCUUCCUUCUGGGAGGGAGGAAGCACUCUCCUGAGCGGGCAGCCUCCUGGGAGGGCCCGUGACUUCUCUGCCUGAAUCUGCAUCCUGGCUGGGCCGUCUCCCAGGAGCACAGAGAUUGAGGCGGUGGGCUUGAACUCCCUCCUUUGAGCCAGGUGAGAGUUGGCCCCCAUAUCCCAGCGGAACCAGCACCCCAGGAAGCGCAGGAAGGUCCAGCAAGCCCUUCCCCGGCCUCGGGAACAGUGGGCCGGGCUCAGCGGCUGAGUCGCGGCUACAGCAGCCACGCGCGGGAUCCAGCCGCGGAGAGGAGCAAACGGAAUCGGUUUCCCACGCUGUCCCUCUCCCUCCCCGAACCUUUUAAAACCUGCUCACGAAGUCCGGCGCCCAGUUUUCGCCCCUCUUGAGCCUGGCGUUCACGCGGUGCCCCAGUCACCAGCGCCGCCCGAGGAGGGGACCCUCGGCCGCCCGCACUCCCUGCCACCCGCCCGCGCACGCAGGGAGCAACUUCGUUCCCCUGAGCAUCCUGGCCCCGCGGCCUGGGCAGGGCUCCGCGCGGCAGAGGUGGCACCGUGGUCGCUCCGGAACGCCGCCCGCGUGGAUGUGACGGCCUCCUCCCGCUCCCGGUUCCGGCUCCCGGCCGGCGGGUCCCCGACAACAACGAACACGGCGAGCCGCCUGGCCUCCCCGGCUUCCGAGUCCCGGGGAUCUCUGGGUGGGAGCUCGCCCUCCCGGUCCCCAGGGGCGCCAGAGCGGAGCACACCGCCAGGCCGCCCGGGAACCGAGCGGACUCCCCACACCGGCUCGCCUUCGGAUCCACACCUCGUCUGCCGCGUCCUCGGGACUUGGUUCCGGUCCCCACCCCGCCGACCCCUUUAGUUCGGAAACCAAAUUUCGUUUUUGGUCCCCCCGGCUCCUCCGCAGGGGUCGCCGUGGAGAAGCUGCCACGGAGGGUUUCCGCUCCAAGCCUCAACUUGCCCAUCUGUGAACAGGGCCAGGUACUGCUUGCUGAGCCCCGCUCAGGGUUGAUGGGGGCUUGGCUGGGAGAGGGGACGAUGGGGAAUGCCCGACAGAGCCAGCGCUGCCCACCUUUCGGGCCCCAUCGUGCAGGCGGGGUUCAGAGGUGGUGCCCAGACCACAAGGGGCCCAAAGCUGCUCCUGAGCCAUCACCACCCUCCCUGCCCUUCCCCCACCCAACCCUGGAGGGAGCGUGAGGGAGGAGGUGCGAGGGUCCAGAUUGGCGCCCAGGGCCUCUCCGCCCCAGGACGGGCUUUUGCUGGCCUCAGGCUCUUGUCUCAGGUUCCACUGGGGCACUGAGGAGGGAGGUUUAACCCAACACGCCCCAGCUCUCGGGGUGGCACCACCGGCACCCCACAUCUCUCAGAGGGUGGGUGCCUGAGCUGGGAGGGGGGACACUCAGGCCACAGAAGCCCGGGUUCCAGCUGGGCCCCAGGAAGGGAAUGGGCCCCGCCCUCCUCCUCCCCAAGCCUCCAGCCGGGUGGGGGGCAUGCCUGGGCAGGGCCCUGAGGAGGGGCCCUGGGGCUUGACCCUGAGCUUAGAGACCGCCUGAAACUGCCCCCCUGGGUGGUGAGGAGGGGAUGGGGGAGCCAGGGGAGGGGCACGGCCUAUUCACACCAUCCAGGCUGCCCUCUGCUUCUGGGCCCGACCAACGGGGGAGGAGAAUCAUUGGGGGGGGGAGUGCCAAAUGGACACACCCUCCCCAGGUCCCUUUACUUGCUCCUGAACCAGUAAUGGAGGUGGCUUUCUGAACCAGCAAGAAAGGGCAGAGACCAGACCGCCCCAGGCAGGGAAGAAAUUACCUCUUGUGCUGAGUGACCCGAAGCUGAUGGAAUCAGUCAGGGGUUCCUGUCCCCUGGGGCAAGGCCACCUGCUCCUGUUCCCAGCGCCCAGCCCACGACUCUGGGGCUAUCAGAGGGAGCAGGGCAUAGGCAGUUCUGGGCUCUGCUGCCAGGGCUUUGCCACCUCCGGACGGCGGGGCUCCCUCCCCCAUCCCCCACCCUCCCUCUCUCAUCAGGCAAGGUUCCCAGGUGACAGGCCAGCGAUGAGAGUGGCAGGGACUCACCUACACAGGGCCCUGCAGCUCGGGCAGGUCAAGGGACCUCACUGAGGACCAACCGUGUGCAGGGACGGCGGGCAAGGGCAAUGCUGGCAGUUCUGUCCUGGGCAGCCCUUCUGAUGAUGAAUUACAGUGAGGGGGCGUGUUGGGUGGGGGGCGGCAGAGGGCUUGAAGGGCACUGUGCCCACUCACACAGCAUCCCUCCCCUGCUCCCGCCCCAGGCAGGCAGAUGGCUUGGGGGUUGGGGGGAGGGGACAGGAGGAGCUGAGCCUAGUCAGAGCCCACUGCUUCCCCAUUCACCUGGGGCCCUCGGUCAGCCCCCCACCCCAGCUUUCUAGGCACCCCCAUUUCCUUUUAUAUAAUCCAGAGGUAGACUAGCAGCUUUGGUGGGGACAGCUGCCUGCAGGUGCAGGGCCUGGCACCUCCUAGGAGCUCUGUGGGUUGUUAAAGCGGGGAUGAAACCCCCCCCCCACCGAGGCAGGGGGUCCCAGGACCUCUGACCCCUCCUCUCCUGGAAGCAAGGCCCCUUGCCUGGAGGGCAGCCCCCUGCUUCCCUGUAGCACACAGAGGCAAGUCGGGCCAGGAAGGAGGACGGGGCUCCUGGGAGCUGUGUGUCCCGUUCCUCUGCAGAUCCCAACCUCCCAGAGUCGGGCCCCACCCUCCUGACCUGGUCAGACUGGAGGCUGUCCGAGGGCCGGCUGGUCUCCUGGCAUCUGCCAGCAGGACUUCUCACGGGGCCAGCGCCUGCCCACUGAGAGGCCAGGGCCCUUAGAUCUUGCUGUAGACCUAACAUCAUUUGUUCCUUCGUCCAUGAAUGGACGAAGGGCCAGAGGCCUGGUCAUGGCCUGGACCUUCCACAGGGGAGCAGCGGAGCGUGAAGACCUGCGGCUUCCAGGGAAUCUCAUGGCCCCGCCCCACCCACCUCCCCACCAAGGGCCCCGUGCUCUGCCCAAGGCUGGGAGUGUGUUUGGUGCUCAGGGAAGGAAUAAUGAAUGAAGAGGCUGAGUGAGUAGAAAGUGACCUGGGGCGGGGGGAGUCGCCAUUGUGGCGCAGAGAAAACGAAUCCGACUAGGAACCAUGAGGUUGCGGGUUUGAUCCCUGCCCUUGCUCAGCAGGUUAAGGAUCAGUCGUUGCCGUGAGCUCUGGUGUGGGUCGCAGACGCGGCUCAGAUUUGUGUUGCCGCGGCUGUGGUGCAGGCCGGCAGCUGUAGCUCCGAUUGGAUCCCUAGCUUGGGAACCUCCAUAUGCUGCGGGUGCGGCCCUGAAAAAACAAAAAGCAAAAAAAAAAAAAAAAA